GUUGUAUGUGGUUACAGGUGGAGGUGUGACUCUCUUCAUAGUGUUGUAUGUGGUUACAGGUGGAGGUGUGACUCUUCAUAGUGUUGUAUGUGGUUACAGGUGGAGGUGUGACUCUCUUCAUAGUGUUGUAUGUGUUUACAGGUGGAGGUGUGACUCUUCAUAGUGUUGUAUGUGGUUACAGGUGGAGGUGUGACUCUCUUCAUAGUGUUGUAUGUGUUUACAGGUGGAGGUGUGACUCUUCAUAGUGUUGUAUGUGUUUACAGGUGGAGGUGUGACUCUUCAUAGUGUUGUAUGUGUUUACAGGUGGAGGUGUGACUCUUCAUAGUGUUGUAUGUGGU